rnacentral:rRNA from 1 species
UACGUAGGGGGCAAGCGUUGUCCGGAAUCAUUGGGCGUAAAGAGCGUGUAGGCGGCUCGGUAAGUCCGCUGUGAAAGUCCAGGGCUCAACCCUGGAAUGCCGGUGGAAACUGUCGAGCUAGAGUCCGGAAGAGGCGAGUGGAAUUCCUGGUGUAGCGGUGAAAUGCGCAGAUAUCAGGAGGAACACCAACGGCGAAGGCAGCUCGCUGGGACGGUACUGACGCUAAGGCGCGAAAGCGUGGGGAGCGAACAGG